rnacentral:pre_miRNA from 1 species
CAUAUACUCCCUCCGUCUUAUAUUAAGUGAUUUUCUAUUACAUGUAUUUAGACGUUUUUUAAGCAUAGAUACAUUCAUAUUUUAGCAAAUUUGAGUCAUAUAAUAUGGGACGGAGGAAGUAGUAU